UGAUAUGCUCUGGAACAUUUCUUACGCUAUUGAUAUGCUCCAAUUACUCUAUGCUCCAUUUGUUAUGAACCAAAUAUGUUUUGAAUGACAUGACACAUAUGAUUUUGUAUCUAAUGAGAUGGUAUCCUUGAGAAUUCUUGUAUUCUGCCUUGCAUUAUGAUAUCUUACUUGUUUGAAAUCGUUACUUUUGUUCUGAAUAUGC
rnacentral:lncRNA from 1 species